ensembl:misc_RNA Metazoa_SRP Metazoan signal recognition particle RNA
GUCAGGCAUGGUGGCCCAUGCCUGUAGUCCCAGCUACUCAGGAGGCUGAGGUGGGGAGAUUGCUUGAGCCCAGGAGUUUGAGGAUGCAGUGAGCCAAGGUUGUACCACUGCACUUCAGCCUGGGCAACAGAGCAAGACCCUGUCUCUA